rnacentral:misc_RNA from 1 species
AGAAAAAGAAAAAGAAAAUAAAUACCCCAUUUAUGACAUCAUGCUCAUGUGAGAAUGAUGCAAUAAAAACUCAUGGACCAAUCACCAUUUAACGACACAUUUAAAUGCAUUUAAAAUAGAAAAAAGAAGUCAAAUAAAAGAAUUAUUUUCUACCUUCUUCUUCCCUAUCCAGCCGAAGCUCUCUCUCUACACACACACCUCCAUUUUUACUAUCUCUUCUCACUAGAACUCUCUUACAACCACACCAUAAAACUUCUUCUUAUCUUCAUUAAAGUUGACCCUUGUAAU